rnacentral:rRNA from 1 species
UGGGGAAUAUUGCACAAUGGGCGCAAGCCUGAUGCAGCCAUGCCGCGUGUGUGAAGAAGGCCUUCGGGUUGUAAAGCACUUUCAGCGAGGAGGAAGGUGGUGGACUUAAUACGUUCAUCAAUUGACGUUACUCGCAGAAGAAGCACCGGCUAACUCCGUGCCAGCAGCCGCGGUAAUACGGAGGGUGCAAGCGUUAAUCGGAAUUACUGGGCGUAAAGCGCACGCAGGCGGUUUGUUAAGUCAGAUGUGAAAUCCCCGGGCUCAACCUGGGAACUGCAUUUGAAACUGGCAAGCUAGAGUCUCGUAGAGGGGGGUAGAAUUCCAGGUGUAGCGGUGAAAUGCGUAGAGAUCUGGAGGAAUACCGGUGGCGAAGGCGGCCCCCUGGACGAAGACUGACGCUCAGGUGCGAAAGCGCGGGGAGCAAACAGGAUUAGAUACCCCGGUAGUCCACGCUGUAAACGAUGUCGAUUUUGGAGGUUGUGCCCUUGAGGCGUGGCUUCCGGAGCUAACGCGUUAAAUCGACCGCCUGGGGAGUACGGCCGCAAGUUAAAACUCAAAUGAAUUGACGAGGUCAUAGCUGUUCCUG